rnacentral:rRNA from 1 species
UUGACCUCUCUUGACCUCAAUACAGGUAGGACUACCCGCUGAACUUAA